GAUCCAUGUGUCUACAUACAUAGAUUCUGUUCAUGGAUUAACAAAAAUGUGCAAGAGGUCUAUUUGCCUCUGCCAUUCUAUGAGUCGCAAAAGGAUCGGAUGUGGCUUAUGGAUGCGACUCUACAAUGUCGGCACGUCAUUAACUAG
rnacentral:rRNA from 1 species